rnacentral:rRNA from 1 species
UACGUAGGGUGCAAGCGUUGUCCGGAAUUAUUGGGCGUAAAGAGCUCGUAGGCGGUUCGUCGCGUCGGCUGUGAAAUCCCGAGGCUCAACCUCGGGUCUGCAGUCGAUACGGGCGGACUGGAGUACUGCAGGGGAGACUGGAAUUCCUGGUGUAGCGGUGAAAUGCGCAGAUAUCAGGAGGAACACCGGUGGCGAAGGCGGCUCUCUGGGACGGUACUGACGCUGAGACGCGAAAGCGUGGGGAGCGAACAGG